GAGAUGCGAUAAGUAAUGUGAAUUGCAGAAUUUAGUGAAUCGUCGAAUCUUUGAACGCACCUUGCGCUCCUUGGUAUUCCUUGGAGCAUGCCUGUUUGAGUAUCAUGAAAUCUUCAAAGUAAAUCUUUUGUUAACUCAAUUGGUUUCUACUUUGGUAUUGGAGGUCUUUGCAGCUUCACACCUGCUCCUCUUUGUUCAUUAGCUGGAUCUCAGUGUUAUGCUUGGUUCCACUCGGCGUGAUAAGUUAUCUAUCGCUGAGGACACUGUAAAAGGUGGCCAAGGUAAAUGCAGAUGAACCGCUUCUAAUAGUCCAUUGACUUGGACAAUACUUUUAUGAUCUGAUCUCAAAUCAGGUAGGACUACCCGCUGAACUUAAGC
rnacentral:misc_RNA from 1 species